UGUGCCUGGACCCUCAGUUGUGUGCCAUGACCUUCAUCUGUGUGUGCCAUGACCCUCAGCUGUGUGCCCAUGUGUGCCAGAACCCUCA